GCCUGUACUGCUCUUCAUUAGCGAUGUCUAAGAAACAAACAGAGGGGCCUGUUAGAGACAAACUGCUUCCACAUGCUGCCUCCGUCACGGACGAGAGGACGGGGUGAUCAGCAAUUACACGCCAACCAGCUGUCCUGGAAGAUAAAAAAUCAGCGUCAGAGUGAGACGAGGGGAGAAAGCACGAGAGCGUCCUGAGCUGGUGGAGAUGUCCCGACCUGUCAGCCAGCUUCCCAGAGAACACGGAGGGGUUGGGCAACAGGGCCAACGGGAGGACCUGGACGUAGACGAGGACGUCGGCGGGAUUCUGGAGAAUCACCUCCUCCUCCUGCAGAGACACAGAGACACAGAAACACAGAAACACAGAAACACGUCACGCCUCAGACUCACAUAAAGCAGAUAUAUCGUCACCCUACUGAGCACGUGUCCCAGCAGGAGGCCGGCUGUUUGUACUCACAGAAGAGCUGUUGGUGUUGGUCAGAGGAAACAGAAUCCGCUGUGAGGAGUUGACCAGCGAGGGCCAGGUCAGCUCGACGGUGUGGAGCAGUUUCAUCUGAUGACAACUGAAUCCUGACUGAUCCUGAUAUACUGACUUGUGGCCGGAGCGCUCCUUCAGCUCUUUCCAUCGCCUGAGGAGUUUCUGGUGGAGAUCCACAUCAGCGUCCCAGAU